rnacentral:rRNA from 1 species
UACGGAGGGGACUAGCGUUGCUCGGAAUCACUGGGCGUAAAGCGCACGUAGGCGGAUCUUUAAGUCAGGGGUGAAAUCCCAAGGCUCAACCUUGGAACUGCCUUUGAUACUGGGGAUCUCGAGUCCGGAAGAGGUUGGUGGAACUCCGAGUGUAGAGGUGAAAUUCGUAGAUAUUCGGAAGAACACCAGUGGCGAAGGCGGCCAACUGGUCCGGCACUGACGCUGAGGUGCGAAAGCGUGGGGAGCAAACAGG